AUUGAACGCUGGCGGCGGGCCUAACACAUGCAAGUCGAACGAGUGACGGAAGGGUGAGUAAUGCUUGGGACUCUAGCUUAUGGAGGGGGAUAACUGCGGGAAACUGUAGCUAAUACCAAGUCACAUAGGAGAAGCCAAAGUGGUAGUUGGUAGUUGGUGAGGUAAAGUCUCACCACGCAGACGCGGUCUAGCUGGUCUGAGAGGAUGACCAGUAACACGGGUACGAAGACACGGCCUAGCAUCCUAAGGGAGGCAUCAGUGGGAAAUAUUGCGCAAGGGGCGCAACCGGACGCAGCCAUGCCGCGUGAAUGAAGAAGGCCUUCGGGGUGUAAAGUACGUUCGGUUGCGAGGCGUUAACUACAGAAGAAGCACCGGCUAACUCCGUGCCAGCAGCCGCGGUAAUAC
rnacentral:rRNA from 1 species